rnacentral:rRNA from 1 species
AGAGUUUGAUCAUGGCUCAGAACGAACGCUGGCGGCGUGCCUAACACAUGCAAGUCGAACGAGAAUCCGGGCUUCGGUCCGGUAGUAAAGUGGCGCACGGGUGAGUAACACGUGGGUAACGUACAUCGUAGUGGGGGAUAACCAGGUGAAAGCUUGGCUAAUACCGCAUGAGUCCGCUGGGGCGCAGGCCCUGGUGGGGAAAGUGGAGCAAUCCACGCUACGAGAUCGGCUCGCGGCCCAUUAGCUAGUUGGCGGGGUAACGGCCCACCAAGGCGACGAUGGGUAGCUGGUCUGAGAGGAUGAUCAGCCACACUGGAACUGAGACACGGUCCAGACUCCUACGGGAGGCAGCAGUAGGGAAUAUUGCACAAUGGGCGAAAGCCUGAUGCAGCAACGCCGCGUGCGCGAUGAAGGCCCUCGGGUCGUAAAGCGCUUUUCUGCGAGAUGAGAAAGGACAGUAUCGCAGGAAUAAGUCUCGGCUAACUACGUGCCAGCAGCCGCGGUAAAACGUAGGAGGCGAGCGUUAUCCGGAUUCACUGGGCGUAAAGCGCGUGCAGGUGGUUUGGUAAGUUGGGCGUGAAAGCUCCCGGCUCAACUGGGAGAGGUCGUUCAAUACUAUCAGGCUAGAGAGCAGAAGAGGAAGAUGGAAUUCCCGGUGUAGUGGUGAAAUGCGUAGAUAUCGGGAGGAACACCAGUGGCGAAGGCGAUCUUCUGGUCUGUUUCUGACACUCAGACGCGACAGCUAGGGUAGUAAACGGGAUUAGAGACCCCGGUAAUCCUAGCCAUAAACGAUGUGAACUUGGCGUUGGUGGGUUAACUCCAUCAGUGCCGAACAAACGCGAUAAGUUCACCGCCUGGGGACUACGGCCGCAAGGUUAAAACUCAAAGGAAUUGACGGGGGCCCGCACAAGCAGCGGAGCGUGUGGUUUAAUUCGAUGCUACACGAAGAACCUUACCCAGGCUUGACAUACAGGUGGUAGAGAUCCGAAAGGUGAUCGACCCGCAAGGGAGCCUGAACAGGUGUUGCAUGGCUGUCUUCAGCUCGUGUCGUGAGAUGUUCGGUUAAGUCCGCUAACGAGCGCAACCCUUGCCGCGUGUUACAUGUGUCACGCGGGACCGCCGGUAUUAAGCCGGAGGAAGGCGGGGAUGACGUCAAGUCAGCAUGGCCUUUAUGCCUGGGGCUACACACACGCUACAAUGGGCAGUACAAUGGGUUGCCAAGCCGCGAGGCGGAGCUAAUCCCCCAAAACUGUCCUCAGUUCAGAUUGCAGGCUGAAACUCGCCUGCAUGAAGCCGGAGUUGCUAGUAAACGCGCGUCAGCUAUAGUGCGUUGAAUACGUUCUCGGGCCUUGUACACACCGCCCGUCACGUCAUGGGAGCUGGCAACACCUGAAGCCGGUAGUCUAACCGCAAGGAGGACGCCGUCGAAGGUGGGGCUGGUGACUGGGACGAAGUCGUAACAAGGUAGCCG